AAGACCUUGCGCUUUUGGAGCGGCCGAUGUCUGAUUAGCUUGUUGGUGAGGUAAAGGCUUACCAAGGCUUCGAUCAGUAGCUGGUCUGAGAGGACGGCCAGCCACACUGGGACUGAGWCACGGCCCAGACUCCUACGGGAGGCAGCAGUGGGGAAUUUUGGACAAUGGGGGCAACCCUGAUCCAGCCAUGCCGCGUGAGUGAAGAAGGCCUUCGGGUUGUAAAGCUCUUUCAGCCGGAACGAAACGGUUACGGUUAAUACCCAUGACUACUGACGGUACCGGAAGAAGAAGCACCGGCUAACUACGUGCCAGCAGCCGCGGUAAUACGUAGGGUGCGAGCGUUAAUCGGAAUUACUGGGCGUAAAGCGUGCGCAGGUGGUUUUGUAAGUCAGAUGUGAAAGCCCCGGGCUCAACCUGGGAACU
rnacentral:rRNA from 1 species